rnacentral:rRNA from 1 species
AUUGAACGCUGGCGGCAGGCUUCACACAUGCAAGUCUAGCGAGCGGCGGACGGGUGAGUACUGUCUGGGAAUCUGCCUGAUGGAGGGGGAUAACUACUGGAAAUGGUAGCUAAUACCGUAUACCAUCAUAUGUGCCCAGAUGGGUUUAGCUAGUAUGUGGGGUAAUGGCACACCUAGGCGACGACUCCUAGCUGUUCUGAGAGGCUGCCCAGCCUACCUGAAACGGAGACACGGUCCAGGCUCCGACGUGACGCAGCAGUGGGGAAUAUUGCACAAUGGGCGCGAGCCUGAUGCAGCCAUGCCGCGUGUGUGAAGAAGGCCUUCGGGUUGUAAAGCACUUUCAGCGAGGAGGCGUUGCUCGCAGAAGAAGCACCGGCUAACUCCGUGCCAGCAGCCGCGGUAAUAC